rnacentral:rRNA from 1 species
AACAAACGCUGGCGGCAGGCUUAACACAUGCAAGUCGAACGCCCCGCAAGGGGAGUGGCAGACGGGUGAGUAACGCGUGGGAAUCUACCUAGUUCUACGGAACAACAGAGGGAAACUUCUGCUAAUACCGUAUACGCCCUAAGGGGGAAAGAUUUAUCGGAAUUAGAUGAGCCCGCGUAAGAUUAGCUAGUUGGUGGGGU